UUUGUAAUGUGGCCUAAAUUUUUAUUUAGAACGUUCCAAGCCGUUAAAACACAGAGGACAAA
rnacentral:ribozyme from 2 species